rfam:Paenibacillus sp. Soil750 contig_12, whole genome shotgun sequence.
GUAGACGACGAGGUUGAUAGGUUCGAGGUGGAAGUGCGGCAACGUAUGCAGCUGACGAAUACUAAUCGGUCGAGGGCUUAACCAA